UACGUAGGGUGCGAGCGUUAAUCGGAAUACUGGGCGUAAAGGGUGCGCAGGCGGUUAUAUAAGACAGAUGUGAAAUCCCCGGGCUCAACCUGGGACUGCGUUUGUGACUGUAUGACUAGAGUACGGUAGAGAGGGGUGGAAUUCCUGGUGUAGCAGUGAAAUGCGUAGAUAUCAGGAAGAACACCCGUGGCGAAGGCGGCUCUCUGGGACGGUACUGACGCUGAGACGCGAAAGCGUGGGGAGCGAACAGG
rnacentral:rRNA from 1 species